AGAAGUAAAAGUCGUAACAAGGUUUCCGUAGGAACAAGUCCUUCCACUGGUAACACUUGCCGAAGCCUUAGCAGCCUGAAAGGGUGCCCCUCGACGACUCAAAAUAAAAUUAGAGGGUCUUAAAUGCUAGUCCACCGUAUAUUAGGGUGGGCAACACUGUCAAAUUGCGGGGAACCCCUAAAGACCUUGACACCAAGCGUCUGCUGGAAACAGCAGCGUGGCCGAGCUAAUAGCCCUGGGUAUGGUAAUAGUUCAAGGUAUGAGCCCGAGUGAUCGGGUGAAAUGGGUGAUCUGCAGCCAAGUCCUAAGGUCUCUCUGUAGGCUAUGGAUGCUGUUCACAGGCCAAAUGGCAGUGGGUGGGAGUAUCAUCUCCUGCUUAAGAUAUGGUCGGUCCCCUCGUGAAAGCUUGGGGGUAAGUUUACCGUUCCGUAGGUGAACCUGCGGAAGGAU
rnacentral:rRNA from 1 species